AUUGAACGCUGGCGGCACGCUUAACACAUGCAAGUCGAGCGGUAACAUGAUUAGUAGCAAUACUAAUUGGUGACGGGCGGCGGACGGGUGAGUAACACGUAGGAACCUGCCCAAAAGAGGGGGAUAACCAAGGGAAACUUUGGCUAAUACCGCGUAAUCUCGAAAGAGGAAAGCUGCCCGCAAGGGUGGCGCUUAUGGAGGGGCCUGCGUCCGAUUAGCUAGUUGGUGAGGUAAUAGCUUACCAAGGCGAUGAUCGGUAACUGGUCUGAGAGGACGAACAGUCACACUGGGACUGAGACACGGCCCAGACUCCUACGGGAGGCAGCAGUGGGGAAUCUUGGACAAUGGGGGCAACCCUGAUCCAGCGAUGCCGCGUGGGUGAAGAAGGCCUUCGGGUUGUAAAGCCCUUUAGGUUGGGAAGAAGUGCAUAGGCUGAAUAAUCCUGUGCAUUGACGGUACCAACAGAAUAAGCACCGGCAAACUCUGUGCCAGCCGCCGCCGUAA
rnacentral:rRNA from 1 species